rnacentral:rRNA from 1 species
GAUCAUGGCUCAGGAUGAACGCUAGCUACAGGCUUAACACAUGCAAGUCGAGGGGUAGCAGGGUAGCAAUACCGCUGACGACCGGCGCACGGGUGAGUAACACGUAUCCAAACCUUCCCACAACUCAGGAAUAGCCUUUCGAAAGAAAGAUUAAUACCUGAUGGUACUUAUAUAAGGCAUCUUAAAUAGUUAAAGAUUUAUGGUUGUGGAUGGGGAUGCGUUCCAUUAGAUAGUUGGUGAGGUAACGGCUCACCAAGUCUUCGAUGGAUAGGGGUUCUGAGAGGAAGGUCCCCCACAUUGGUACUGAGACACGGACCAAACUCCUACGGGAGGCAGCAGUGAGGAAUAUUGGUCAAUGGGCGAGAGCCUGAACCAGCCAAGUAGCGUGAAGGAAUGAAGGUCCUAUGGAUUGUAAACUUCUUUUAUAGUAGAAUAAAGUGAGCCACGUGUGGUUUUUUGUAUGUAUACUAUGAAUAAGGAUCGGCUAACUCCGUGCCAGCAGCGGC